CAGGAGUCUCACCUAUGUCCGAACAGAGCCUAAAACCUGAUGGGAAUUCGGGUACCACUUAUUCGAACGAUGCAUAUUUUCCUUUGUUCAAAUGUUCGGAAUAUAAGUGUGUCGAAUUCCAUUGAAAUGUCUGAAUCCUGACUGCAUGGAAUGUUUUCACGCUGCGGCUGUUACAAAUCCAGUAAAUUCUCUUGCUCAUUAGAUUAUCGAUCUUCUGUAUAUGGUGAACGACAUAUGCUAGAAUUAGGUGGAAAUCUAAAGGAGUUGAGUGAUAUGGAAGAGUUUAUCAUUGGCAAAUAUUUUUGGGUUCUU
rnacentral:misc_RNA from 1 species